UUCUAAUAUUACCCUGAACACUCCCAAUCUUGUCUGAUUUUUGAAGCUAUGCAGGUUUGGGCCAGGUUCCUACCUGGAUGGGAAACCAUCAAAGAACUCCAGGGAUCUCUGAGU
rnacentral:rRNA from 1 species